rnacentral:rRNA from 1 species
AUAUCAAUAAGCGGAGGAAAAGAAACCAACAGGGAUUGCCCCAGUAACGGCGAGUGAAGCGGCAAGAGCUCAAAUUUGAAAUCUGGCCUCCCCCGGGGGUCCGAGUUGUAAUUUGCAGAGGAUGCUUCGGGCGCGGCCCCCGUCUAAGUUCCUUGGAACAGGACGUCAGAGAGGGUGAGAAUCCCGUCUUGGGCGGGCGGCCCGCGCCCGUGUGAAGCUCCUUCGACGAGUCGAGUUGUUUGGGAAUGCAGCUCUAAGCGGGUGGUAAAUUUCAUCUAAAGCUAAAUACCGGCCGGAGACCGAUAGCGCACAAGUAGAGUGAUCGAAAGGUUAAAAGCACCUUGAAAAGGGAGUUAAACAGCACGUGAAAUUGUUGAAAGGGAAGCGCUUGCGGCCAGACUCGGGGGGCGGGGUUCAGCGGGCGCUCGUCGCCCGUGCACUGCCCGCUCCCCGGGCCAGCAUCAGCUUCGACGGCCGGUCAAAGGCCCCCGGAAUGUGUCGUCUCUAGGGACGUCUUAUAGCCGGGGGUGCAAUGCGGCCCGUCGAGACUGAGGAACGCGCUCCGGCUCGGAUGCUGGCGUAAUGGCCGUAAGCGGC